AGUGAACGUUGGCGGCGUGGAUUAGGCAUGCAAGUCGAGCGAGAACCGUAGCAAUACGGGGACAGCGGCGAAAGGGACAGUAAUGUGUAGGUACCUACCCCGAGGUCUGGGAUAGCUGCGGGAAACUGCAGGUAAUACCGGAUAAUGUCUUCGGACCAAAGGUGUGAUUCCACCUUGGGAGGGGCCUGCAUCCUAUUAGCUUGUUGGCGGGGUAACGGCCCACCAAGGCGACGAUGGGUAGCGGGUGUGAGAGCACGACCCGCGUCAUUGGGACUGAGACACUGCCCAGACACCUACGGGAGGCAGCAGUGGGGAAUAUUGGGCAAUGGGCGCAAGCCUGACCCAGCCAUGCCGCGUGAGUGAUGAAGGCCUUAGGGUUGUAAAGCUCUUUUAGUGGUGAAGAUGAUGACUGUAGCCACAGAAAAAGCCCCGGCUAACUUCGUGCCAGCAGCCGCCGUAA
rnacentral:rRNA from 1 species